UACGUAGGGGGCAAGCGUUGUCCGGAUUUAUUGGGCGUAAAGAGCGUGUAGGCGGCCAGGUAGGUCAGCUGUGAAAACUCGAGGCUUAACCUCGAGACGCCGGCUGAAACCCUCUGGCUAGAGUCCGGAAGAGGAGAGCGGAAUUCCUGGUGUAGCGGUGAAAUGCGCAGAUAUCAGGAAGAACACCCGUGGCGAAGGCGGCUCUCUGGGACGGUACUGACGCUGAGACGCGAAAGCGUGGGGAGCAAACAGG
rnacentral:rRNA from 1 species